UGAUUGAUUGAUAUAACGCGAAUCAGUUCGUUAAGUACCACAAAUAUAGUUGCUACGAAUACACGCUGUUAUUAGUGAACGUAUGAAAUGAAUUUACGAAGCUAAAAAUGAUAAAAAAAUGAAUCGUAAUCUGGUAAUUAGUAGUAGUCUGGUACAGUACAGUAAAUGCCCGUUGUACAACAGCUUCAUUCAUUGUAUGUCUCUUCGAAUGAACGAACGAACGUCGUCUGUUGUGAUCUGCGAACCCACCCCGGUUACCAUGGAAUCAUCAUUCCGCGAGGUGGGGCGCAUGUGGCAGCUACACUCGGGCAACUUCGUAGUAUCAAGGAGUUUUCUUCGCAGUACGCGUUCAUUCGUUGAUGGGGUUGUUGUGAACGAGAAAAAAAGGAAAUAUGACUACAAAACUUCUCAAUUUAACGAUAUACAACAAGCACAAUAAAGAAAUCUCAUAUCACUUUCACAUCCUGUUAUAAUAGCUGUAAAUGAUCCAUCUGGAUUUUGACAAGCUCGCAUUCCUUCAAUAAUGGAUUUUUUAUCAACACGACUUAAAUCAUCACCAAGAAUUAAAAGGAAGGUUGAAAACCUGAACGUGGUCCAGCUCCAGUUAUUUGAAGCCUAUAGAUCCAGUUAAUUGCUUCUAAUUUUGUUUCUUCGCUAAGAUCAUUCAAGCAAUUUAAUAUAUCUAAUCCUGAUAUAGCAAAAAAUGCUACUGC